rnacentral:misc_RNA from 1 species
GAAAUGCGAUAAGUAAUGUGAAUUGCAGAAUUCAGUGAAUCAUCGAAUCUUUGAACGCACCUUGCGCUCCUUGGUAUUCCUUGGAGCAUGCCUGUUUGAGUAUCAUGAAAUCUUCAAAGUAAAUCUUUUGUUAACUCAAUUGGUUUCUACUUUGGUAUUGGAGGUCUUUGCAGCUUCACACCUGCUCCUCUUUGUUCAUUAGCUGGAUCUCAGUGUUAUGCUUGGUUCCACUCGGCGUGAUAAGUUAUCUAUCGCUGAGGACACUGUAAAAGGUGGCCAAGGUAAAUUCAGAUGAACCGCUUCUAAUAGUCCAUUGACUUGGACAAUACUUUUAUGAUCUGAUCUCCAAUCAGGUAGGACUACCCGCUGAACUUAAGC